GUUAUUUUCUUAGGUGAUUUAGAAAACAUUAUGUGCAAUUCGGACUCAGCCUCUGGUAAUGUUAAUAAGCUUCGCAUACAUUAUUUUAAUGCUUGUGUGAAGGAAUGUGGUUUCUUUGAUUUGGGUUUUAGUGGUCCUGCUUAUACGUGGAUGAACAAGCGUUUCUCUUAUAAACCAGUGUUUGAACGCCUUGAUAGAUGCCUUGUUAAUGCCGAAUGGUGUGUUGCUUUUCCUAAUACUAAUGUCUUCAAUUUGCCAAUUAUGUUGAGUGAUCAUGCUCCCAUUCUUGUUUCCAUUGAAUCUCAGUUUCGUAGACCUAAGCUUAAUUUUAAGUUUGAGAAUUGGUGGACUAUGGAGAGUGAUUUUCAUUGCACAGCCAAAUCGGCCUCGCUCUCUUCGGCGACUAAACCUUUCCAUGCUAGAACUUCUAAUCUUGCGGGUACAUUGAAGCGGUGGUGCAAAAAGAAAAGGCCAAUCUCACAACAAUUGGACAAAAUCCAAGAGCAGAUUAAUGAAAUCCAGAUGCAAUCUGUUCAUAUGCAAGAUCACUCUCUCGAAUUAAGCCUAAUUUCUCAAUAUGAAGAAUGCAUGACUAAGUUGACAGAAUUUUAUAGACAACGUGCGAAAAAACAUUGGGCCACAAAAGGAGAUAGAAAUACGUCUUUCUUUCAUAAUGCUGUUCAAAAACGUAGAAGACGUAACAGAACUGUUUCCAUCAGAGAUAUUCAUGCUAAAACUCUUCAUGAUCCGGAUGAUAUAGCUAAUGAAUUUGUGACUUAUUUCCAUAAUAUUUUCGACUCCUCUUGUGAUAACAAUGACAGGCCAUUCUUGGGCACUACUCAUCCGCAAGAUCAGCAAGUUUUCACGAACUCCAUCCCGGACAAGGAAGAAAUAUGGUAA
rnacentral:rRNA from 1 species